AGAGUUUGAUCCUGGCUCAGGACGAACGCUGGCGGCGUGCUUAAUACAUGCAAGUCGAGCGAGGUUACUGUUUCGGAUCCCUUCGGGGUGAAGAAGCUUUAACCUAGCGGCGGACGGGUGAGUAACGCGUGGGUAACCUACCCCAAAGUCCGGGAUAACAGCGGGAAACCGCUGCUAAUACCGGAUGCCUUUACCUUGGGGCAUCUUGAGGUAAAGAAAGGCAACGCUUUGGGAUGGGCCCGCGUCCCAUUAGCUAGUUGGUGAGGUAACGGCUCACCAAGGCGACGAUGGGUAGCCGGCCUGAGAGGGUGGACGGCCACACUGGGACUGAGACACGGCCCAGACUCCUACGGGAGGCAGCAGUAGGGAAUAUUGCGCAAUGGACGGAAGUCUGACGCAGCGACGCCGCGUGAGCGAUGAAGGUCUUCGGAUCGUAAAGCUCUGUCCUUGGGGAAGAAGGCGAAAGCUUGACGGUACCCAAGAAGAAAGCCCCGGCUAACUACGUGCCAGCAGCCGCGGUAAUACGUAGGGGGCGAGCGUUGUCCGGAAUUACUGGGCGUAAAGGGUGCGUAGGCGGCCCUUUAAGUCGGAUGUGAAAGCCCGCGGCUUAACCGCGGAAUGGCAUUCGAAACUGGAGGGCUUGAGUGUCGGAGAGGGUAGUGGAAUUCCCAGUGUAGCGGUGAAAUGCGUAGAUAUUGGGAGGAACACCAGUGGCGAAGGCGACUACCUGGACGAUAACUGACGCUGAGGCACGAAAGCUAGGGGAGCAAACAGGAUUAGAUACCCUGGUAGUCCUAGCCGUAAACGAUGGGUACUAGGUGUGGGUGGUUUCGAUACCAUCCGUGCCGUAGUUAACGCAUUAAGUACCCCGCCUGGGGAGUACGUGCGCAAGCAUGAAACUCAAAUGAAUUGACGG
rnacentral:rRNA from 1 species